rnacentral:rRNA from 1 species
UACGUAAGGUGCAAGCGUUAUCCGGAAUUAUUGGGCGUAAAGAGCUCGUAGGCGGUUUGUCGCGUCUGCUGUGAAAACCGGAGGCUCAACCUCCGGCCUGCAGUGGGUACGGGCAAACUAGAGUGCGGUAGGGGAGAUUGGAAUUCCUGGUGUAGCGGUGGAAUGCGCAGAUAUCAGGAGGAACACCGAUGGCGAAGGCAGAUCUCUGGGCCGUAACUGACGCUGAGGAGCGAAAGCGUGGGGAGCGAACAGG